AAGGCUAACCUGGAUGGCUGUGAAUUGGCUUAAUCUCAGCUGGCAACUGUGAGAUAUUAAUAAAUUCCCUCACAGUGGUCUCUGGGAUUAUGCUAAACAGAGCAAUUUCCUUGCCCUCAUGGAUCAAUAGACUUGCUCACCAACCUAAAU
rnacentral:pre_miRNA from 1 species